AUUGAACGCUGGCGGCAGGCCUAACACAUGCAAGUAGAACGAGUGGCGGACGGGUGAGUGAUGGUUGGGAAUCUGCCUUAUAGAGGGGGAUAACUACUGGAAACUGUAGCUAAUACCGCAUACCAUAAGAUGAGCCCCGGUGGGAUUAGCUUGUUGGUGGGUGAAAGGCUCACUAAGGCUACUAUCCCUAGCUGGUCUGAGAGGAUGACCAGCCACACUGGGACUGAGACGCGGUCCAAACUCCUCCGGGAGGCAGCAUUGGGGAAUAGUGGACAUGGGGCGCAACCCGGACGCAGCCAUGCCGAGUGAAUGAAGAAGGCCUUCGGUUUGUAAAGUACUUUCGGCAGGGAGGCGUUACCUGCAGAAGAAGCACCGGCUAACUCCGUGCCAGCAGCCGCGGUAAUAC
rnacentral:rRNA from 1 species